AUUCAGCUUAGAGACGAGUCCCAAAUAGGACGAAAUGCGCAUCAGGCUGGAU
rnacentral:hammerhead_ribozyme from 1 species